UACGUAGGGAGCAAGCGUUGUCCGGAAUCAUUGGGCGUAAAGCGCGCGUAGGUGGCCCCAUAAGUCCGCUGUGAAAGUCAAGGGCUCAACCCUUGAAUGCCGGUGGAUACUGCAGGGCUAGAGUCCGGAAGAGGCGAGUGGAAUUCCUGGUGUAGCGGUGAAAUGCGCAGAUAUCAGGAGGAACACCGAUGGCGAAGGCAGCUCGCUGGGACGGUACUGACGCUGAGGCGCGAAAGCGUGGGGAGCAAACAGG
rnacentral:rRNA from 1 species